UGUGAAAUGUGGGUUAAGUCCCGCAACGAGCGCAACCCUUAUCCUUGUUUGCCAGCGAGUAAUGUCGGGAACUCCAGGGAGACUGCCGGUGAUAAACCGGAGAAGGUGGGGACGACGUCAAGUCAUCAUGGCCCCUUACGAGUAGGGCUACACACGUGCUACAAUGGCGCAUACAGAGGGCUGCCAACUCGCGAGAGUGAGCGAAUCCCAAAAAGUGCGUCGUAGUCCGGAUUGGAGUCUGCAACUCGACUCCAUGAAGUCGGAAUCGCUAGUAAUCGUAGAUCAGAAUGCUACGGUGAAUACGUUCCCGGGCCUUGUACACACCGCCCGUCACACCAUGGGAGUGGGCUGCAAAAGAAGUGGGUAGUUUAACUUCGGGAGGACGCUCACACUUUGUGGUUCAUGACUGGGGUG
rnacentral:rRNA from 1 species